rnacentral:rRNA from 1 species
UUACCUGGUCUUGACAUCCACAGAACCUGGCAGAGAUGCCGGGGUGCCUUCGGGAACUGUGAGACAGGUGCUGCAUGGCUGUCGUCAGCUCGUGUUGUGAAAUGUUGGGUUAAGUCCCGCAACGAGCGCAACCCUUAUCCUUUGUUGCCAGCGGUCCGGCCGGGAACUCAAAGGAGACUGCCAGUGAUAAACUGGAGGAAGGUGGGGAUGACGUCAAGUCAUCAUGGCCCUUACGACCAGGGCUACACACGUGCUACAAUGGCGCAUACAAAGAGAAGCGACCUCGCGAGAGCAAGCGGACCUCAUAAAGUGCGUCGUAGUCCGGAUUGGAGUCUGCAACUCGACUCCAUGAAGUCGGAAUCGCUAGUAAUCGUGAAUCAGAAGUCACGGGAAACGAC